ensembl:misc_RNA Metazoa_SRP Metazoan signal recognition particle RNA
GCCAGGCGCGGUGGUGCACGCCUGUAGUCCCAACUACUCAGGAGGCUGAGGCAGGAGAAUCACUUGAACCCAGGAGGUGGAGGUUGCAGUGAGCCAAGAUCGUGCCACUGCACUCCAGCCUGGGUGACAGAGUGAGAUGCUGUCUCAA